UUCUUCUUCUUUUUCCUCGUUUGUUCCUUUCUUUUGUUUUCUUUUUCUCUUGCUUUCUUUCCAGGAUACCAUCAGGCAGCCAAGACAUCAACCGUAGAUAAGAAAAGGGAACGUCAGAGAGACUGAGAUUUUUUU
rnacentral:ribozyme from 11 species